rnacentral:RNase_P_RNA from 1 species
GGACAGGUGAUCGCGGCUGCAAGUGUCGAAAGACCGCAGGUGAGGAAAGUCCGGGCUUCAUAGGGCAGGAUGCCGGUUAACGGCCGGUGGAGGAAACUCUAAGGAAAGUGCAACAGAAAUAUACCGCUAUAAGGAGCACAUGCCAUGCAAUUUCCCCUUUGGGGGAAGGCAUGUACGUAGGAGAUGCAUCAUAGAUGCAUCUCAAUAGUAAGGGUGGAAUGGCAGUGUAAGAGACUACCGCCUCGCUGGUAACAGAGAGGGCACAUGUAAACCCCAUUCGAAGCAAGACCGAAACAAAGCUUUGACGUGGCCCGCUAGCUUUAGGUAGGUCGCUUGAGGCGGCUGGUAACAGUCGUCCUAGAUAGAUGAUCACUCAACGACAUAACCCGGCUUAUCGUCUUGC